ACUACGGGAGGCUGCAGUGGGGAAUAUUGCGCAAUGGGCGAAAGCCUGACGCAGCGACGCCGCGUGAGGGAUGAAGGUCUUCGGAUCGUACACCUCUGUCAGCAGGGAAGAACGGUCACUGUGCUAAUCAGCAGUGAAUUGACGGUACCUGCAAAGGAAGCACCGGCUAACUCCGUUCCAGCAGCCGCGGUAAUACGGGGGGUGCGAGCGUUAAUCGGAAUUACUGGGCGUAAAGCGCUCGUAGGCGGUAUGUCAAGUCAAGGGGGAAAUCCCCGCGCUCAACGUGGGAACUGCCUUUGAAACUGGCAAAGUGGAGUGUGUGAGAGGAUAGUGGAAUUCCAGGUGUAGGAGUGAAAUCCGUAGAUAUCUGGAGGAACAUCAGUGGCGAAGGCGACUAUCUGGCACAUAACUGACGCUGAGGAGCGAAAGCGUGGGUAGCAAACAGGAUUAGAUACCCGAGUAGUC
rnacentral:rRNA from 1 species